AACGAGGCCGACCUGCGGCUGAGUUACCUGCGGAGGGAUCAUUACAGAGUUCAUGCCCUCACGGGUAGAUCUCCCACCCUUGAAUACUAUACCUUUGUUGCUUUGGCGGGCCGCUUUGGCUACUGGCUCUGGCUAGUAAGUGCCCGCCAAAGAACCCCAAAACUCUGAAUAUUAGUGUCGUCUGAGUACUAUAUAAUAGUUAAAACUUUUAACAACGGAUCUCAGAUCGGAAGAGCACAC
rnacentral:misc_RNA from 1 species